rnacentral:rRNA from 1 species
GAGUUUGAUCCUGGCUCAGGACGAACGCUGGCGGCGUGCCUAAUACAUGCAAGUCGAGCGGAGAUUUGAAAAGCUUGCUGGUCAAAUCUUAGCGGCGGACGGGUGAGUAACACGUGGGCAACCUGCCCUUGAGACGGGGAUAACUCCGGGAAACCGGAGCUAAUACCGGAUAACACAUAUCUUCGCAUGAAGAUAUGUUAGAAGGUGGCUUUUAGCUAUCACUCAAGGAUGGGCCCGCGGCGCAUUAGCUAGUUGGUGAGGUAACGGCUCACCAAGGCGACGAUGCGUAGCCGACCUGAGAGGGUGAUCGGCCACACUGGGACUGAGACACGGCCCAGACUCCUACGGGAGGCAGCAGUAGGGAAUCUUCCGCAAUGGACGAAAGUCUGACGGAGCAACGCCGCGUGAGUGAUGAAGGUUUUCGGAUCGUAAAGCUCUGUUGUUAGGGAAGAACAAGUACCUGUUGAAUAAGCAGGUACCUUGACGGUACCUAACCAGAAAGCCACGGCUAACUACGUGCCAGCAGCCGCGGUAAUACGUAGGUGGCAAGCGUUGUCCGGAAUUAUUGGGCGUAAAGCGCGCGCAGGCGGUUCCUUAAGUCUGAUGUGAAAGCCCACGGCUCAACCGUGGAGGGUCAUUGGAAACUGGGGAACUUGAGUGCAGAAGAGGAGAGCGGAAUUCCACGUGUAGCGGUGAAAUGCGUAGAGAUGUGGAGGAACACCAGUGGCGAAGGCGGCUCUCUGGUCUGUAACUGACGCUGAGGCGCGAAAGCGUGGGGAGCGAACAGGAUUAGAUACCCUGGUAGUCCACGCCGUAAACGAUGAGUGCUAAGUGUUAGAGGGUUUCCGCCCUUUAGUGCUGCAGCAAACGCAUUAAGCACUCCGCCUGCG